CUUCCACCUCAUGAUAAACAGUAGGUUUAAUCACUAGGGCUUCCACGGGAACUCGAGUACUCGAGGACGAGUCGGGUUUAACUGGACUCGAGUCCAUUUUCUAGGACUCGAGGACUCGAAAAGGGGAGAUAACUCGAAUUAUUGGGUUACGUUGACAGACUGUCUGCCAUGU